rnacentral:rRNA from 1 species
UGCCUGACGACUAUAGCGAGUGGGAACCACCUGAUCCCUUGCCGAACUCAGAAGUGAAACCGCUCAGCGCCGAUGGUAGUGUGGGGCUUCCCCAUGU